rnacentral:rRNA from 1 species
UACGUAGGGGGCUAGCGUUGUCCGGAAUCAUUGGGCGUAAAGAGCGUGUAGGCGGUCCGGUAAGUCCGCUGUGAAAGUCGGGGGCUCAACCCUCGAAUGCCGGUGGAUACUGUCGGGCUAGAGUGCGGAAGAGGCGAGUGGAAUUCCUGGUGUAGCGGUGGAAUGCGCAGAUAUCAGGAAGAACACCAACGGCGAAGGCAGCUCGCUGGGACGUGACUGACGCUGAGACGCGAAAGCGUGGGGAGCAAACAGG